UACAGAGGUCUCAAGCGUUGUUCGGAUUCAUUGGGCGUAAAGGGUGCGUAGGUGGCGAGGUUAGUCAGGUGUAAAAUCUCGGGGCUCAACCCCGAAACUGCACUUGAUACUGCCUUGCUAGAGUACUGGAGAGGAGAUUGGAAUUUACGGUGUAACAGUGAAAUGCGUAGAUAUCGUAAGGAAGACAGUGGCGAAAGCGGCGCACUGGACCAUAACUGACGCUGAGGCGCGAAAGCUAGGGGAGCAAACAGG
rnacentral:rRNA from 1 species